rnacentral:rRNA from 1 species
CCUACGGGCGGCAGCAGUGAGGAAUAUUGGUCAAUGGACGCGAGUCUGAACCAGCCAAGUAGCGUGAAGGAUGACUGCCCUAUGGGUUGUAAACUUCUUUUAUAUGGGAAUAAAAUGUUCCACGUGUGGGAUUUUGUAUGUACCAUAUGAAUAAGAAUCGGCUAACUCCGUGCCAGCAGCCGCGGUAAUACGGGGGAUGCGAGCGUUAUCCGGAUUCAUGGGGUUUAAGGGGUGCGCGGGCGGGCCUUUAAGCCGGCGGUGAAAUCGCGGGGCUCAACCCCGCCGAGCCGUCGGAACUGGGGGGCUUGAGUGUGGCGGAGGCAGGCGGAAUGCGCGGUGUAGCGGUGAAAUGCAUAGAUAUCGCGCAGAACCCCGAUUGCGAAGGCAGCGUGCCGUGCCGACACUGACGCUGAGGUACGAAAGCGCGGGGAUCGAACAGGAUUAGAUACCCCUGUAGUC